UACGUAGGGUGCAAGCGUUAAUCGGAAUUACUGGGCGUAAAGCGUGCGCAGGCGGUUGUGCAAGACAGAUGUGAAAUCCCCGGGCUCAACCUGGGAACUGCAUUUGUGACUGCACGGCUAGAGUGUGUCAGAGGGGGGUAGAAUUCCACGUGUAGCAGUGAAAUGCGUAGAGAUGUGGAGGAACACCGAUGGCGAAGGCAGCCCCCUGGGUCAAGACUGACGCUCAUGCACGAAAGCGUGGGGAGCAAACAGG
rnacentral:rRNA from 1 species